CCGGAUGAAAGUUUGAGGAGGAGCAUCGAAAAGAGGGUGUAAGAGAAAGUGGGUUUUCUUGAUUCUAGGCAUUUCGUUUAUUUUAGAGGGAUUGAUGGUGCAUUGAUGAGGGUAAAUCCGCAUGUGGAUAUAUGAUCCACUGUUUGGUUUCUGUGGUCCGAUGAUUUCAGAUGAGUUUUUGGUGUUGGAAUUUUCGGUUGAUCGUCUGGUUUCUGCCGUUUUCUCUGCGAAACGGACUUCAUUCGAUGUUUUUGAUGGAUCGUGCGAUUGUUUCCCUA
rnacentral:lncRNA from 1 species